UGAGAGGACGAUCAGCCACACUGGGACUGAGACACGGCCCAGACUCCUACGGGAGGCAGCAGCGGGGAAUCUUGCGCAAUGGGCGAAAGCCUGACGCAGUAACGCCGCGUGGGGGAUGAAUGCCUUCGGGUUGUAAACCCCUUUCAGCAGGGACGAAAUUGACGGUACCUGCAGAAGAAGCCCCGGCCAACUACGUGCCAGCAGCCGCGGUAAUACGUAGGGGGCGAGCGUUGUCCGGAUUUAUUGGGCGUAGAGAGCGCGUAGGUGGCUCGACAAGUCGGAUGUGAAAACUCCAGGCUCAACCUGGAGACGCCACUCGAUACUGUCGUGGCUCGAGUUCGGUAGGGGAUCACGGAAUUCCUGGUGUAGCGGUGAAAUGCGGAGAUAUCAGGAGGAACACCGAUGGCGAAGGCAGUGAUCUGGGCCGAUACUGACACUGAGGCGCGAAAGCGUGGGGAGCGAACAGGAUUAGAUACCCUGGUAGUCCACGCCGUAAACGUUGGGCACUAGGUGUGGGGUCUUAUCAACGGACUCCGUGCCGUAGCUAACGCACUAAGUGCCCCGCCUGGGGAGUACGGUCGCAAGACUAAAACUCAAAUGAAUUGACGGGGGCAAGGGCGAAUUCUGCAGAUAUCCAUCACACUGGCGGCCGCUCGAGCA
rnacentral:rRNA from 1 species